rnacentral:rRNA from 1 species
GCUUGUCUCAAAGAUUAAGCCAUGCAUGUCUAAGUGUAAAUAAGUCUAUACUGUGAAACUGCGAAUGGCUCAUUAAAUCAGUUAUAGUUUAUUUGAUGGUACCUACUACUCGGAUAACCGUAGUAAUUCUAGAGCUAAUACGUGCGCACAACCCGACUUCUGGAAGGGUCGUAUUUAUUAGAUAAAAGGCCAGCCGGGCUUUGCCCGACCUGCGGUGAAUCAUGAUAACUUCACGAAUCGUAUGGCCUUGUGCCGACGAUGUUUCAUUCAAAUUUCUGCCCUAUCAACUUUCAACCGUAAGGUAGUGGCCUACGGUGGUGGUAACGGGUGACGGAGGAUUAGGGUUCGAUUCCGGAGAGGGAGCCUGAGAAACGGCUACCACAUCCAAGGAAGGCAGCAGG